rnacentral:misc_RNA from 1 species
GAAAUGCGAUAAGUAAUGUGAAUAGCAGAAUUCCGUGAAUCAUCGAAUCUUUGAACGCACAUUGCGCCCUCUGGCAUUCCGGGGGGCAUGCCUGUCCGAGCGUCAUUACGCACCCUCAAGCCCGGCUUGUGUGAUGGGCCCCGGCGUCUCGUUCGCGAGACGGGCCCGAAAGGCAGCGGCGGCGUCGACCCGAUGAGCCCGAGCGUAUGGGGACUUCUGUCACACGUUCGCGGUGCGGACCGGCGCCUGCUUGACUUUUCUGAUUAUCCAGGUUGACCUCGGAUCAGGUAGGGAUACCCGCUGAACUUAAGC